UUUGCACUGUUCUGGCCUCCUUUGCUGCACCUCCAAUAUUUGGACCGAUCUGUCUGUUCAUUCAUUUGCUGACAGGAAGUUGCACUGCAUCUAGGCGGAAUUGGGGAUCUGAUUAUUUGGCAGUGCAGUCAUUUAUCAGGUCACAGCCUUCUGACUCAUCAGCAUUGCACCUGGAGUGACACUCGCUGCUGUUUUGCCUACUUAUAAAUUGUUUUAAAAUACUAAUCUGCACUUUCUCUGGGGAUAAAGUGCAACAUUGUAAGGCUAUUGUAUUCCUGUUUUACUUGUAUUGUUUCAUUUUC